CCUACGGGGGGCAGCAGUGGGGAAUAUUGGGCAAUGGAGGCAACUCUGACCCAGCAACGCCGCGUGAAUGAUGAAGGUCUUCGGAUUGUAAAGUUCUUUUCUAAGGGAAGAAGAAAGUGACGGUACCCUAGGAAUAAGCCUCCGCUAACUACGUGCCAGCCGCCGCGGUAAUACGUAGGAGGCAAGCGUUAUCCGGAAUGACUGGGCGUAAAGGGUGCGUAGGUGGUUUGACAAGUUAGUAGCGCAACUCCGGGGCUCAACUUCGGAACUACUACUAAAACUGUGGGACUUGAGUGCAGGAGGGGCGAGCGGAAUUCCUGGUGUAGCGGUGGAAUGCGUAGAUAUUAGGAGGAACACCAGUGGCGAAGGCGGAUUGCUGGACUGUAACUGACACUGAGGCACGAAAGCGUGGGGAGCGAACAGGAUUAGAUACCCGUGUAGUC
rnacentral:rRNA from 1 species